UACGUAGGGUGCAAGCGUUGUCCGGAAUUAUUGGGCGUAAAGAGCUCGUAGGCGGUCUGUCGCGUCUGCUGUGAAAACUCAGGGCUUAACCCUGAGCUUGCAGUGGGUACGGGCAGACUAGAGUGCGGUAGGGGAGACUGGAAUUCCUGGUGUAGCGGUGAAAUGCGCAGAGUAUCAGGAGGAACACCGGUGGCGAAGGCGGUUCUCUGGGC
rnacentral:rRNA from 1 species